GUGGGGAAUUUUGGACAAUGGGCGCAAGCCUGAUCCAGCCAUGCCGCGUGCAGGAUGAAGGCCUUCGGGUUGUAAACUGCUUUUGUACGGAACGAAACGGCUCUUUCUAAUAAAGAGGGCUAAUGACGGUACCGUAAGAAUAAGCACCGGCUAACUACGUGCCAGCAGCCGCGGUAAUACGUAGGGUGCGAGCGUUAAUCGGAAUUACUGGGCGUAAAGCGUGCGCAGGCGGUGAUGUAAGACAGAUGUGAAAUCCCCGGGCUCAACCUGGGAACUGCAUUUGUGACUGCAUCGCUGGAGUGCGGCAGAGGGGGAUGGAAUUCCGCGUGUAGCAGUGAAAUGCGUAGAUAUGCGGAGGAACACCGAUGGCGAAGGCAGCCUCCUGGGAUAACACUGACGCUCAGGCACGAAAGCGUGGGGAGCAAACAGGAUUAGAUACCCUGGUAGUCC
rnacentral:rRNA from 1 species